rnacentral:pre_miRNA from 1 species
AUACUACUCACUCCGUCCGGAAAUACUUGUCGGAGAAAUGGAUGUAUCUAGGCGUAUUUUAGUUCUAGAUACAUCCAUUUUUAUCCAUUUCUCCGACAAGUAUUUUCGGACGGAGGGAGUACAAA